rnacentral:rRNA from 1 species
UAAAUUGAGAGUUUGAUCCUGGCUCAGGACGAACGCUGGCGGCGUGCCUAAUACAUGCAAGUCG